rnacentral:pre_miRNA from 1 species
UGGACAGAUUAUUGUAUUCGACUGUAUUCACGGCAUAAAAUAGGGGAUUACACUAUUUUUAAAACGAAAAGUGAAUCAAUUAACAUAAUAGACUACU